GACGAACGCUGGCGGCGUGCUUAACACAUGCAAGUCGAGCGAUGAAGUUUCUUCGGAAAUGGAUUAGCGGCGAACGGGUGAGGAACACGUGAAGAAUCUGCCCUCCACUUUGGGAUAACACCGGGAAACCGGUGCUAAUACCGAAUAUUGAAACAUAAGUGGCAUCACUGAGUUUUGAAAGAAUUUCGGUGGAGGAUGACUUCGCGGCCUAUCAGCUAGUUGGUGAGGUAAUGGCUCACCAAGGCAACGACGGGUAGCCGGCCUGAGAGGGCGACCGGCCACACUGGGACUGAGACACGGCCCAGACUCCUACGGGAGGCAGCAGUGGGGAAUAUUGGGCAAUGGAGGAAACUCUGACCCAGCGACGCCGCGUGCGGGAUGAAGGCCUUCGGGUUGUAAACCGCUUUCAGUAGGGAAGAAGCGAAAGUGACGGUACCUACAGAAGAAGCACCGGCUAACUAUGUGCCAGCAGCCGCAGUAA
rnacentral:rRNA from 1 species